AAAAAUCGUUGGCGCCAUUUUUGAAGGUUUGCUUACGAUUUUUAUUUUGUGAGGGAAAAAGACUAUUCAUGGUGUAGAGAGGAUCCAUAGAGCAUAGCCAUGGAAGAGGAGUUGAGGUAUGGGAAGAGGAAAAAGAAGAAGAUCAAGUCACCCAACCCAUUGUUUGAGGCGUGGUUAAGAGAAUGGAAAGAAGAGGCUGCAGAAAAAGGGAUCAAAUCACAAUAUGUGUAUGCUAAGGCUUUAAAAUCACUUCAAAGAUACCCUCUUCUUCUAACAUCAGGAAAAGACUGCAAAAUCUUGGAAAACUUCGGUGAUAAGCUGUGCAAAAUGUUGGAAGACAGACUUCAGAAACAUAUACAAGAACAUGGAGCUAUAGUCCCUCCAGAACCAGAGGCCUCUACAUCCAAAGCACCUGCCACAUCCAAAGCACCUGCUAGACAGAAACCCAAACCUACACAAAAUGCAGCCACCACAGUAAAGAGAGCAGGGACACAGGGAGGGGGCCACCAGCGUGUAACCCAUGCUCUGUCAGAUUCAGACAGUGAGGGGAGCACCGGGGCUCCACCCCCACCCAGGAAAAGACAGAGAUCAGGAAUAUGCAGUGGAGAGAGGGAAUAUAUACCGGCCUACAGAUCAGGGCCGUACGCUCUCCUCAUUGCCCUCUACCGAGACAGACAGUCUGCUGAUGGGAGGGGAUUCAUGUCCAAGACGGAACUGUGCAACAAGGCCCAGGAGCUCGCCGACAAGUCCUUCACAGUGACUGACCCUGGGUGUCGCUACACGGCCUGGUCUUCUAUGGGGACACUGAUAAAGAAAGGUCUGGUGACAAAGGAGAGCAGCCCUGCCAAGUACUCGCUCACUGAGGCUGGCUGUGAGCUCGCUCAUCGGCUCGAGAUGAGUCAGGCCGACGACUACCCGGUUUGCCUUAUACCAACACCAAGGGCACCUGCUGGAAUCCCUGAAGCCUCAAGUCAAGAUAUUGGGCAACUUCAAUACAAGUAUGUAACCAAUGAAGGAGAAGAAGUGAUAAACAAGGACAAAGCGGCAGUGUUGAUUGAAGAUGACUUUGGGUUGGGCUUUUUGAUCAAGGUCAACUACCAGAAGCUACUGACCAGUGGAAAGCGCUACAGACUGGACACCACCAGACCUUUGGGUGAGGAUGUGUAUGUUUAUUUACAUGGCGAUGAUACUGAUGAGUUGGCCAUCAAUACAAACAUGCCACGACUGCCGUCACUGGACGAAGACGAUCUACAGGAAGCAGUCAAUGUGGAAAAACCUAGAAAGGAGGUAAAGAAGAGAACAAAAACACCAAAGGACGUGAUGUCCUCAGCCUCAGCGGAGCCCCAGCUGCUGUCAUUCCAGAGCUCCUCUCCCCGACCGACCACUAAAACCCUAGGGCGAGUCCACUCCCAGGGGAGCUCAGCGACCAGCGAGAACUCCCAGGAUUCCACAGAGUCGGCCGCCAGUACAUGUGUACCCAACUUUGUAUUUCAACCCGGAGAGUUUGAAAUCAUCCUGUGUGUGGACAAUGCUGAAUUCUAUGGCUCCAGGUAUCUUACGUAUCAAUGAGAAAGGGUAAACAGCAACAAAUACAUUUUCAUAUCUUUAUAUUAGAAUGUUUUCAUGCAUACAGUGUUUUUUGCAUCUAAUAAGGAAUUUGUCAAGCCCUAAAUGUACAUAUUUGUAGAAUUUGUAGAAUGUAAACAUAACUGUCAUGUAUUUUAUUGUAAACAUCUGUGUUCUGUAUUUUAAAGUAAACACUAUUUUAUAUUUUAAUGUACCUAGGCAAGGAGGAGGGAAAUCCCUGCUGCCCGACCUCAUUAAGAAUGGGGUGACCUGUGACCUCAGAAAGCUCCAUGUGGGUGAUUUGUUGUGGGUGGCAAGGAAGAAAACUCAGACAGAAGCAGGAGUUGGUCAGCAGCCCAGGAGAAGGGAGCUGGUAUUGGACUACAUUGUGGAGAGGAAGAGGAUGGACGACCUCGUUCACAGCUGUACAGACGGUCGACUCCCGGAUCAAAAGUUCCGUCUGAAGCACUGCGGACUGAAGAAGCCGAUCUUUAUGAUAGAGGAUUAUGGGUCACUCCAGCAUUUCAGUAUGCCCGAGGAUCGCAUCAGACAGACCAUUACCAAUCUCAAGGUGAUCGAUGGUUUUCAAGUGAAGAAAACAAAGAACGUCAAGGAAUCUGUGGCCUACCUAACGGUGAUGACCCGAUAUCUUCAGAGUUAUUACAAGGACAAGCGGUUGUACGCCUGCAGUAUGGAUGACAUAAAGGAUCAGGUCUGGAUCAAUGACAUCACUGACCGGGAGGUCAGGUUGAUGGAGUUCAAUGAGUUCAAUCAGGGAUCUGUUAAGUCCAGGAACUUAAGUGUACAGGACAUGUUUUGUAAACACCUCAGUAAAGUGAGUGGGAUGUCUGGAGAGAGGGCAAUGGCUGUGACACAGGUCUACCCCACCCUCACUCAUUUAAUGGAUGCUUACAGGUCUUGUCCUAACAAAAGUGUAGCAGAAAGUUUACUGUCAACCAUAAAAGUGAACAAGUCUCUCAGGAAUUUAGGCAUCAACCCCAGCAGACUAAUCCACCAGCUGUACACAACACCAGGUGCCCUUACCUGAUCCAAGUACUUCACUGGUUCCCUUUUCUGAUCAAAUUGGAAUCCCCCAAAAACAUGCUGUACAGAGCGACUGGUCCCUUAGCAGGAUCGAUUAGAGUUUCUCUCCACAUACGUAACAUGAUGGAUGGCGUUCCGUCUACAGCUCUAUAUACUAAAUUAUAUACAAGUUACAAUACCCAGUAUAUAUCAGGGAUUGAAGUCUGAUAUACUUGUGAAUACUUUUGCUGCAUGGUUCUUUGUGGUUUUUUUACUGUAAUUUACUGACAAUAUGAAAAAAAAUUGUAAAAGAAUUCUUAUAAAAGAGAGAGAGAGAGAGAGAGAGAGAGAGAAACUGUUGUCCUUGAUGCAAUAUCAUUAACACAAUUUAAUGUUGUU
rnacentral:misc_RNA from 1 species